rnacentral:misc_RNA from 1 species
GAUGAAGAACGCAGCGAAAUGCGAUAAGUAAUGUGAAUUGCAGAAUUCAGUGAAUCAUCGAAUCUUUGAACGCACAUUGCGCCCGCCAGUAUUCUGGCGGGCAUGCCUGUUCGAGCGUCAUUACAACCCUCAGGCCCCCGGGCCUGGCGUUGGGGAUCGGCGGAAGCCCCCUGUGGGCACACGCCGUCCCUCAAAUACAGUGGCGGUCCCGCCGCAGCUUCCAUUGCGUAGUAGCUAACACCUCGCAACUGGAGAGCGGCGCGGCCAUGCCAUAAAACACCCAACUUCUGAAUGUUGACCUCGAAUCAGGUAGGAAUACCCGCUGAACUUAAGCAUAUCAAUAAGCGGAGGA